rnacentral:rRNA from 1 species
AUGAACGCUGGCGGCGUGCCUCAUACAUGCAAGUCGCGCGAACAGACGAGGAGCUUGCUCCUCUGACGUUAGCGGCGGACGGGUGAGUAACACGUGGAUAACCUACCUAUAAGACUGGGAUAACUUCGGGAAACCGGAGCUAAUACCGGAUAAUAUAUUGAACCGCAUGGUUCCAUAGUGAAAGACGGUUUUGCUGUCACUUAUAGAUGGAUCCGCGCCGCAUUAGCUAGUUGGUAAGGUAACGGCUUACCAAGGCAACGAUGCGUAGCCGACCUGAGAGGGUGAUCGGCCACACUGGAACUGAGACACGGUCCAGACUCCUACGGGAGGCAGCAGUAGGGAAUCUUCCGCAAUGGGCGAAAGCCUGACGGAGCAACGCCGCGUGAGUGAUGAAGGUCUUCGGAUCGUAAAACUCUGUUAUUAGGGAAGAACAAAUGUGUAAGUAACUAUGCACGUCUUGACGGUACCUAAUCAGAAAGCCACGGCUAACUACGUG